GCGGGGACAGACACCUGUGCGUGCCAGGGGGCCCGUAGCCCCUCCCCGCUCUUUGUUCUGCUCUUUGUCUCGAUCUGCCCGGAGAAACGAGGACGCAGAGAGAGAGGCGCCCCUCACCCAGAAUAGCCCACCCUGCCCUGCUCUGCUCUGGGGCUCUCCUAAAUCCCUUCAAGGGCUGGCGGUUUUCUGAUGCUGCGGCAGCUCUCGUGUUCUUCCCUUCUGUGGAGCCCGGGGCACCCCUCCUGGACCUCCCCCUUCCCGUAAGUGUCCUCCCAUUCCAGUUUCAGUAAGCGGGCCGCCCCUCAGCUACACCAGACCGAGUUCAGCGGCUGCCCCUCACGCCCGGCCCCGGGAACCGAGGACCCGGUCAGCGCCGGGCCCAUUUCCAGGUGGAAGAUCCCUGCGACCCCCUCCCCUCACCUGUGGGGGAGGGGGAGGCCAAGAGAAACGAUUGGGGGAGGGGCACUCCCACUGUUCUGGGCCUGACGUCACAAAGCCCCCUACUCUACUCCUCGCUUCUCCCUCAGUUUUGGGAGCGGACUAGCCCCGCCCUCCGGUGACGUCACAGCGACUACCCCUCCCACCUUUUAUUAAACCUAACUCUUCUUUGUCUCAGUGUGAGGAUGUUCGGGGACGAGAGAGGUUGAGGGUCUGCAGGCCCCCGCCAGUUCCGUUCCCGGCCCCCGUGAGACCCCUCCUCUCCAUUCUCCCCAUCUUCCAGACUGACGGAUCCCGAGGGUCCUGCUAGUGCCUAAGCGGCUGUGAGUGAGAUGAAGAACUGAGGCAAAGAGUGUUAAAUGAGUUUCCCACACUUACACAGCUAAUAAGUGUCCAAGGCUGAAUUUGAACACCUGAAGAUGAGCUCUCCUGACUCCAGGUCCAUCGCUCUAUCCACUGAACCACCCAGCUGCCCAUGGUUGUACUGUCAUGUCUCCAAGGGGUCCCUCUGAUGCCUCGGGAGGAAUUUAGGAAAAAGUGGACCAUUUAUCUCUUGGACAAGGAAAGCUCUGGCUUCAAAGGAGAGAAAGAGACGGAAAGGAAGUCAUGAGCCUUGGAAGAGAGGGGUCCAGGAGAUGAUUCAAGGACACAUGGGAGCCGGGGACAGAGAAGCAAGAACAGGAUAGAUCAAGAGGAUGUUGUAGCCAGCCACAGCCACAGAAAGAACUGAGCAACAUGUGGACUGAGGAAAGACACGUGGAACCUGAGCAUGGAUGGACAAAGGAAGACAAGCAGAUGCCAGACUUGAAGAUAAGUGGGCAGAGCCAUCAAAAGGUUCCUCUCUCAGUUCAGGAGAUCUCAAGCCAAGCCUGGAUGCUGAAGCUUCAGAGAUGGAAGGAAUCACUCUGAAUGACAAAAUCCUUUUUUUCCUCCUUCCCACCUUUUCAUUAUUGCCCUUUAAAUUCUUUUCCUCAUUUAAAAAAUGUUCAUGGAUGUUUUUCUUUCUUUCGCAUUAUAGUAUCCCAUGUAUACCGCCCUCUCCCUCUGCUUCCUGAGAGUCAUGCCAUGUAACAAAUGGUAUUUUGUGUUUUAGGAAGGAAAAAAAAAAUCAACACAACUAUAUAGUCCAGAGAGGAAAAGACAUUUGUGGUAGGAGCAUCUUUUUGGGAACACUCCAGUUAUCAUGGGCUUGCUCUCUGUUGAAGCACUUCUAAUCUCUGAACAUUUGGAGGAAAAGACACUUGUGGCAGGAGAAACUCUCUGGGAACAUUUGGUGUAAGAAAGAGAUUGGGAAAGCCUUCUGGGUGAAGAAACCAACCUUUGAGAGAAACAAUGGUGGGCUCUAUGGUCCCUCCAGUACGGUCUGAGACCUCACCUUGUUUCCCUUAAUAAAGGUUGGUUCCUUUGCCUAGAAGACCUUCCCAGUCUCUUUCUUACACUAGUUGCUGUAGGAUUGCUCUCUAUGGAAACGCAUCUAGACUCAGAACAUUGAGCAGACAAGAUCUUUGUGGCAGGAGACACUCUUUCUGGGGACAGUCCACUUAAUACGGGUUUCCUCUCUGGGAAAGCCCAGCAAGAGAAAAAUUGGACAUUUAAUGAAAUAGAGGCCGCUGAAGCAUUCCUGAACAAAAGACAAGUGGUGACUUUCAAAUAAGAGUCAAGAGAAUCAUUAAAACGUAAAUAUGAUAGAGACAUCAUAAGUAACUCCAUGUUGUUAAACUGGAUACUCUCCUAAAAGGGAAGAUGAUAAACUUAUCUCCUAAGAAUUUUAUCAUUACUCGACAAGGUAGAAGGUUUCUACUUAGAAAAAAGUGUUUGGGAGUGAGAUAUGUAGAUGGGGAAAUUGUAAAAUAAAUGGACAGGUGAGAAAUUGGAUGACCUGGAAGAUGGUAGAACAAAGAAUGGAGGAAAUGAUGUCAUAAAAAAAGGCAAGCAAGAUAGAGCUUUUAUCUUGGUAUGGAAAGUGGUGGUUGUGGCAGGGGAACAGGAUUGUUGUUUGAAUAUCCGUCAUGUCUAAAUUGGUUCAAACAGGCAAAAUAACUACAUUUAUUAUAUGUAUACCUACUUAUUCAACUGGUCAUAAAAAUCUAUUUUACACUGCAGGUAAGUAACAGAAUGGAAGAAGAGAAAGAAAAAGUGGUGAUAAAUGUUGGACAGCUAAAAACUUCAGUGAUCAUAUGCAAAACAGAAAUUAGUGGGGACAGGAUAAAAAGAGAGAGAAGGAAAAAAAAAACAAAGAAAAUAGCAUGGAGGGAAGUCAUGACUGUGUGAAUGGGAUGAACUCAUUCAUAAAAGUGAAGUGGGUAGCAAAAUGAAUUAGAAACAGGAAUUCAACAAUGUUUGUUUUUAUAAGAAACACACUUGAAAUAAAGAGAGAA